ensembl:lncRNA
GUUUCAAGUCUCUUUGAAGAUUAACGAGCUCAGCGUCUUAACGAGGCUCUUGAUUGCCAGGAAGUCUGAGCUGUAACGAGCUCUGAAUGCUGACGAGCUGACGCCCUCACAGAGAUCAUUAAACCGAAAGCGGCCGUGCGUCAUGUCCGGACCGGUCCGCGCUACACCAGCUGAUAUUUGAACACUUUUAUUGUUCACAUCUCUGGAUUUCUUUCACUUCCUUCCUGCUUUCGCGUCUCCUUCACAUUUCAUAAUCAGAAACGAUUUGCCUUCAGGGGCUCCGUUUAACAAAUAUCACGUGCACUGCUUUCAGCUAUUAUUUUUAUUUAAGCACUUUGCAGAGUAUCCAUCAGAUCCUUUUAAUGUCUGACUUUCAGCUUCACCUUCCUUUCUGUAUCUGUUAUCGAUGUUGGCAGUCUCCUCCUUUCCCUUCACGCUGAAUCGGACGUGUUAAACAAAAGCAAACCUGCUGCUGCUUUAGUUUUCCAGCCAGCACAGAUAGACUCUGAGCUGCUGUUCAACAGCUAAUGACUGGACAGUAAAUCAGGAUAAUGGGCUCUGGGCUGCUCCGGGCCUUUCGUCCGUUCACUGGAUGCUAAAUAUCCGGGGAUUUAAUGGCUGUUUAUCUCUGCUGAUGCUGCAUUCUGUUACUUUGCUUCCCUAAAGGGAAUAAUUAGUCUGGUUAAGCAGGGACCUGACAGGCAGGACGGGGAAACACGCUGAACUCUUUGUACAACUAAUGCUGAAGCCACAGUUUUAAUGGAAACACCAAAGGAACAGCAAACAGUGAUGAAGCACUCGGUGUUUGCCUGUGUUUGUUGUCUCCUGCUUCACAGACAAAUCAGAGUCAUUAGAAUAUAUUAAUUUGACAUUUGCUCAGUUAUUAAAAAAGUCUGUGUGUUCUGACCCUUAGUUCUGGUUCUAAACGCUUCACUUUGGAAUACGAGUGCUUACAGCAACCUGCUGCAGGAACAUAGAGUCUUCACAAUGACCUUUUUUUCUUUAUUUAAGGGCAGACUGCAUGGACACAGGAGGUGUGGCAUCAGGAGGUGUGGCCUCAGGAGGUGUGGCCUCAGGAGGUGUGGUCUCAGGAGGUGUGGUCUCAGGAGGUGUGGUCUCAGAGGUUUGGCUUCAGGUGGUGUGGCCCCAUAGGGGGUGUGGUCUCAGAGGUGUGGCCUCGAGAGGUGUGGCCUCGGGAGGUGUGGCUUCAGGAGGUGUGGCCACGGGGCUGAAAACACCUGAAUUCAAAGAUAAUGAGCUGUGGCCCAAAACGUUUGUCUGUGUAGAGUUUAAGCUCACUGGGUCUGGAGUGUUUUUGUUCUUUGAUUCUGAUCAUUCUGUUAUUUUAUGGUUUUUCAUGGUUUAGUUUGUAUUUCUGCUCCUUUACUGUUCUUGUGCCUCCCUUGUGUUACGUCUAGUCGUCCUUGUCUCCAUGUUGGUGUAUUUCCUGUUCUACUUUGCCGUGUCCUGUGUUAGUCUUUACAGUGUUGCUCUCCCUCCCGUCUCGUCAUGUCCGAUUAGUUUCGGCUGCGUUCCCCUCCUGUUUCCUGUUUCUGUGUAUUUCCCUCUGGAUUACUUCUGCUUCGUAUCCAAAAUAACUUUAUUGCCUUUGCUUCUCUUAUUGCCCGAAAAAGAAUUUUGUUGUCGUGGAAAUCAUGUCAGCCAGCAUUAAAGUCUGGUUACACGACAUCCUAGGACUCCUAAAACUGGAGAAGAUAAAUUCUCCCUCAGAGGCUCAUCUGAUAGAUUUGUUACUCACUGGAAACCAUUACUUAAAUACUUACCGUAGCUUCCAGCACAAGAAAUCUCUUUGUAGUCCAUCAUACGCCCGUGCACAAACGCUCCAGCUGCUUCCAGCAGUGGCUGUUCCACCUUGUAAGAUUACUUCAUUUAGGAUACUCCAGCAUUAUCGAUUUACUUUGACUGAGGAGCAAAUGUCAUUAAUAUCGAUAUUAAUUAGAGUUAAUUAAUGUUGAUUAAUGUCAAUAUGAAUUCACAGGAAUGAGCCCUUUAUUGUUGGUCUUCAUUAUUUGUUUUGAUGUAUGGGUUAAUGUCACGGCUAGACGGUCCUCACCGGUAGCCUUGCCAAUUUUUGUUGUGUUAGUGUGUACUUUGUGGUGUUCUCCUCUCCAUCCUGUGCAUGUGUGUUUGUAUGCUGGAACAUGUACUUCUGGAAGCCGUGGCACGGAAUGGCAGCUGACCCGGGGGGAGGAUCCUGAGCUGGAAUCGUCGCACCUGUGCGUAAUCGCUUCGCCGGCUGCUACUAAUCCGAAGCAGACCUAUUUAACGGUGCAGUCGAGUCACAACCAACGCUGGAACGUCGAGCUAAACCGGGAUCCAGGGAUCGGAGGAGGAGCGGGCACAAGUCACUGCACUGUCACCACGGGGAGAAGCCACCGUGUCACUGCACUGCCCUUUUUGGAUUACAGACUCAAACUGUUGCCUUAUUUUUUCACUGUGAAUAAAUUCACUGUCACUCUGCAAGGAGUCUCGCACCUGAGUCCUUUAACCCAAUUCACCGUGACAGUUAAUCCAUCUUUCUGUAACAUAGUCACCUUCAAAUUAUUGGGGGGUAUUCAUGCCAUCUAUGUUAUUCAUGUUUACUGGAUGUUAUAAAGAAAGAAGAGACGAUCAUUUCUGUCUGUACCUUUGUGCUUAGUGUCUGCAUUUGAUAAUAAAACGAACACAACAGCAGUUUAAAUAUCAGUGCGUCGAAUUCAGACGUCACAACAUUUAAACCGAGUUUCAUUUGCAUCUAAGUGACAGACUCC